CACGGCCCAGACUCCAACGGGAGGCAGCAGUGGGUUUUUUUGCACAUAUGGGCGAAAGCCUGAUGCAGCGACGCCGCGUGAGGGAUGACGGCCUUCGGGUUGUAAACCUCUUUCAGCAGGGAAGAAGCGAAAGUGACGGUACCUGCAGAAGAAGCGCCGGCUAACUACGUGCCAGCAGCCGCGGUAAUACGUAGGGCGCAAGCGUUGUCCGGAAUUAUUGGGCGUAAAGAGCUCGUAGGCGGCUUGUCACGUCGGGUGUGAAAGCCCGGGGCUUAACCCCGGGUCUGCAUUCGAUACGGGCUAGCUAGAGUGUGGUAGGGGAGAUCGGAAUUCCUGGUGUAGCGGUGAAAUGCGCAGAUAUCAGGAGGAACACCNGGUGGCGAAGGCGGAUCUCUGGGCCAUUACUGACGCUGAGGAGCGAAAGCGUGGGGAGCGAACAGGAUUAGAUACCCUGGUAGUCCACGCCGUAAACGGUGGGAACUAGGUGUUUGGCGACAUUCCACGUCGUCGGUGCCGCAGCUUAACUGCAUUAAGUUCCCCGCCUGGGGAGUACGGCCGCAAGGCUAAAACUCAAAGGAAUUGACGGGGGCCCGCACAAGCAGCGGAGCAUGUGGCUUAAUUCGACGCAACGCGAAGAACCUUACCAAGGCUUGACAUACACCGGAAAGCAUUAGAGAUAGUGCCCCCCUUGUGGUCGGUGUACAGGUGGUGCAUAGGCUGAUCGUCAGCUCGUGUCGUGAGAUGUUGGGUUAAGUCCCGCAACGAGCGCAACCCUUGUCCUGUGUUGCCAGCAUGCCCUUCGGGGUGAUGGGGACUCACAGGAGACCGCCGGGGUCAACUCGGAGGAAGGUGGGGACGACGUCAAGUCAUCAUGCCCCUUAUGUCUUGGGCUGCACACGUGCUACAAUGGCCGGUACAAUGAGCUGCGAAACCGUGGAGGUGGAGCGAAUCUCAAAAAGCCGGUCUCAGUUCGGAUUGGGGUCU
rnacentral:rRNA from 1 species